rnacentral:ncRNA from 1 species
AAAACAGGGGAGCUUGCAGGAAGCAGGCUGAGAGUAGGUUAGUCCACCUAGACCCGUAACCUGAUUUGGAUAAUGCCAACGUAGGGACAUAUGUUUUUU